UUCUUUUUCCUUGGUGGAUGAUGCCUCGAUCUAUAUCCCUUUGUCGUUUCAUUCCGUUCCUUCUUCCAUCCUCCUUGGUGUUCCUUUAUAACUUCUGCCGAACAGAUCGUGUUUCCCGGCGACUAUUCUAGAACCUUCAUGAAUCUUCCCACGGCGACGGCGCUCUCCCUCUUUAUGGCCUUACAAAGUCCUCUAAAGCACAAUCCCCCUCACCAUGACUGAACUCCGAAGCGGAAGAAACUGGGCAACGUUCCAUGAUCCAAACCCAAACCCAAACCCAAACCCAAACCCGAACACAAAAGCCCGCCAGAGAAGAACGAGAAGAACUGCUGUCAACACCGGGAGGUACAAUCGCAACACACUCGCGCGUUGUAGAAUCGGUAACCGUGAAUUAGGAGAGAAGGAGCAACAACAGCAACCCGCGCCUCUGCUUAGGGUUUCGGAAGAAGAUAAAGAGAAAGAGAUGGAUGACGAGUUCGAUAGCGGCGGUGGCCGGAGCCCCGACAAGGCUGCGCCUGCCGAAGACGAAGGAAGCACUGCUCCCAUUCCCGAGAGGGUACAGGUAGGUGGUUCUCCGUUGUACAAAUUAGACAGAAAGCUUGGGAAGGGAGGGUUUGGACAAGUUUACGUAGGUAGGCGAGUUGGGGCUGGUGCCGGAGCGUUAGAGGUAGCUUUGAAGUUUGAACAUAGAAGCAGUAAGGGGUGCAAUUAUGGACCUCCAUAUGAGUGGCAAGUUUACAAUGUAUUGGGUGGUAGUCAUGGUGUUCCACGUGUUCAUUACAAGGGACGGCAAGGUGAUUACUAUGUUAUGGUCAUGGAUAUGCUUGGCCCUAGUCUGUGGGAUGUCUGGAAUAACAACUCAAACACAAUGUCUGCGGAAAUGGUGGCAUGUAUAGCAAUUGAGGCCAUCUCCAUAUUAGAGAAGAUGCAUUCUAAAGGGUAUGUGCACGGUGAUGUAAAACCUGAGAAUUUUUUGCUUGGCACCCCUGGAACUGCUGAUGAGAAAAAGCUUUUCCUAGUUGAUCUUGGAUUAGCAACCCGUUGGCGUGAUAGUUCAACUGGCUUUCAUGUUGAGUAUGAUCAACGUCCUGAUGUAUUUAGAGGAACAGUUCGAUAUGCUAGUGUGCAUGCUCAUCUGGGUAGAACAGGAAGCAGGAGAGAUGAUUUGGAAUCUCUUGCUUACACAUUGAUUUUCCUUCUUCGUGGCCGGCUACCUUGGCAAGGAUACCAGGGAGAAAAUAAAGGAUUUCUUGUGUGCAAGAAAAAGAUGGCAACCUCACCAGAAGCUUUGUGUUGUGUCUGUCCUCCCCCAUUCCGGCAGUUUGUGGAAUACGUAGUGAAUUUGAAGUUUGAUGAAGAACCAAAUUAUGCUAAGUAUAUAUCACUUUUUGAUGGAAUUGUUGGACCGAAUCCAGAUAUCAGACCCAUAAAUACCGAAGGUGCACAAAAGCUUAUAAAUCUGGUUGGACAUAAGAGAGGACGAUUAACUGUGGAAGAAGAUGAUGAUGAACAACCAAAGAAGAGAGUAAGAAUGGGAAUGCCAGCAAUGCAAUGGAUUAGUGUGUACAAUGCCCGCCGACCAAUGAAGCAAAGGUACCAUUACAAUGUUGCUGAUGUGCGGCUGUCCCAACACAUUGAAAAGGGAUAUGAGGAUGGGUUAUUUAUCAGCAGUGUAGCUUGUUGUUCUAACCUAUGGGCACUUAUUAUGGAUGCUGGCACUGGUUUCACUGCUCAAGUUCAUGAACUCUCACCCCACUUCCUUCAUAAGGAAUGGAUUAUGGAACAGUGGGAAAAUAAUUAUUACAUUAGUGCAAUAGCAGGCUCUAACAAUGGGAGCUCAUUGGUUGUAAUGUCUAAAGGGACCCAAUACAUGCAGCAAUCCUAUAAAGUUAGCGAGUCAUUUCCAUUUAAGUGGAUCAAUAAAAAAUGGAGAGAAGGAUUUUCUGUCACUGCUAUGGCUACUGCUGGGAGUAGAUGGGCAAUUGUAAUGUCCCGUGGUGCUGGAUAUUCAGACCAGGUUGUGGAACUUGAUUUCCUGUAUCCUAGUGAAGGCAUUCAUCGCAGGUGGGACAAUGGUUACCGCAUCACUUCAACUGCUGCCACCUGGGACCAAGCUGCUUUUGUUCUUAGUGUCCCAAGAAGAAAACCGGCUGAUGAAACUCAAGAGACACUCCGCACAUCUGCCUUUCCUAGUAGUCACGUCAAGGAAAAAUGGUCAAAAAAUCUCUAUAUUGCAUCAAUAUGCCAUGGGAGAACAGUUUCAUGAACUGAGAAGUUUUGAGACUUCAGCUGACUUUUGACUUUUUGCAUCAAAGUUCCAGUUCUUAGAUGUGCCAUUUUGGAAUCUGGAAUCAUAUCUGAUGAGUUCGGUGAACAAAGCUAUUCAGCAUUGAUUUACAUACAGCUGGAUUCUUGACAGAGCACAAUGCUUCAUUUUCCUCUGUAGCCUGCCCUCCUAGUGGUAAAAGUUGGCUAUCGGGGCAGCUCAGCUGUUGUGAUACAGUUAAAGGGUUGUUGUUACAAUUAUUGACUUUUAUAUCUCCUGACACUUCUGGAGCAUCUGGAGCAGAUAUGCCUUUAUAUCGACGGUAUGUUUGAUUUGGCCUGAUGGCACGAGACUUCAGUUCCUGGCAUUUUGGUGGGAUGUAGUAACGUGCAGAUUUGUAUUUGUUUGUUCAUACUGCCACUAUGAUUCUGGAGAGCCCCACACCCUUAAGAAGUGGUGAAGCAGUUGAUGGUACUGGAGCAUUUGGAACUAUUUCCUGUAUGUGAUUCUUUCCUUAAAUAGUUGAACCUUUGGUAGGUAGCAGCGUGGGUAGGGCUUUAGUUGAAUAUGAAGCAAACUCUUUUUUAGUGAUAUUUAACUUGUCAAAAAGCUACCGUAUUUUGAAUUUCAAAUCAAUAUCAGCUCUUUUCAAUCCCUUGUCAGGUUUAAUAUUUUGACUUGUGGGUCAAUUGUUUCAAUAUUUCAUUUCAUUUGUGCUUCCAUGACACUGAUGAAAUUAUGCAUGAAGCCACGGAAGGCAACUCUGAAGCAAUGCAGCUGUGAGCUUAUGGUGGUGAUGAAAGUUACAGAAAGGAUCAAAUGAAUUUACUUGUAGAUGAACGGCAUCGUUGAUGAAUAAAUUAAUUUCUUUGCCGGUGUUCA